UAACUGAAGAGUUUGAUCAUGGCUCAGAUUGAACGCUGGCGGCAGGCCUAACACAUGCAAGUCGAGCGGGGGAAGGUAGCUUGCUACUGGACCUAGCGGCGGACGGGUGAGUAAUGCUUAGGAAUCUGCCUAUUAGUGGGGGACAACAUCUCGAA
rnacentral:rRNA from 1 species